AUGCCGGCUAUGCUCAAGCUCUACGAGGGCGAUUGUAGGGGAUUUGCGAAGCUAAAUAAGGCGCACAUUGUACUCAUCCCCAAGAAGCCGGAUGCUGAGGAAAUGGGAGACUAUCGGCCUAUUAGUCUUACCCAUAGCAUUCCUAAGUUGUUUGCUAAGGCCCUUGCCAAUAGAUUAAGGAAGCAGAUGCAUGACAUUGUGGAGACUAACCAAUCGGCUUUCAUCAAAGGUAGACAUUUACAUGAAAAUUUCCUCCUCGUGAGGCAAGUGGCAAGGGAGCUACAUGCUAGGAGAGCCUCGGCUGUGUUCCUCAAGUUAGAUAUUUCGAGAGCUUUUGACUCUUUGUCAUGGCCUUUGUUGUUUGAGGUCAUGGAAGCCAAAGGGUUUGGAACUCGGUGGAUGAGAUGGGUGGCCUUGCUACUCCAAACUACUAGCACUAAGAUCAUUGACAAUGGUAUUCCAGGAAAGAGUUUUGCACAUGCUUGUGGGCUCCGGCAAGGAGACCCUAUCUCCCCGCUGUUAUUCGUCAUAGCCAUGGAUGUCUUGACGACCAUGGUUAAAAAAGCUACUAAGGUGGGGGUGCUUAGUUCGACACCAUGGAUCUCACCUAUGCAGAGGUUGUCCAUUUAUGCGGAUGAUGUCGCCAUGUUUAUGAAGCCAACUACUAUGGAUUUGAGCUUCAUUCGGUAUGCCCUGGAAGCAUUUGGUGCUGCCUCGGGCCUGCAAGUGAACUACCGGAAGUCAUCGGCCAUUGCGAUCAGAGGAGAUCACGAGGACAAAGCUAGAGUGGCUACUUUUCUUGCGUGCUAUCUGGCAGAUUUCCCUUGCAAGUACCUUGGCCUUUAG
rnacentral:rRNA from 1 species